UACAGAGGGUGCGAGCGUUAAUCGGAAUUACUGGGCGUAAGGCGUGCGUAGACGGUUAUUUAAGUCGGAUGUGAAAGCCCCGGGCUCAACCUGGGAAUUGCAUUCGAGACUGAAUAGCUAGGGUGCGGUAGAGGGAAGCGGAAUUUCCGGUGUAGCGGUGAAAUGCGUAGAUAUCGGAAGGAACAUCAGUGGCGAAAGCGGCUUCCUGGACCAGCACCGACGUUCAGGCACGAAAGCGUGGGGAGCAAACAGG
rnacentral:rRNA from 1 species